rnacentral:rRNA from 1 species
UACGGGGGGGGGCAAGCGUUGUUCGGAAUUACUGGGCGUAAAGCGCACGUAGGCGGCUUUGUAAGUUAGAGGUGAAAGCCCAGGGCUCAACCCUGGAAUUGCCUUUAAGACUGCAUCGCUUGAACAUCGGAGAGGUAAGUGGAAUUCCGAGUGUAGAGGUGAAAUUCGUAGAUAUUCGGAAGAACACCAGUGGCGAAGGCGACUUACUGGACGAUUGUUGACGCUGAGGUGCGAAAGCGUGGGGGAGCAAACAGG